rnacentral:lncRNA from 1 species
UGUAAGCUCUGCUCACUCUUUGUUAUUUUUUAUUUUAAUUUUUUUUAAAGGAGAAAAAGCAUCAUUAACGUUACAUUAAAUAGGGAUGAACAUUUAAUUAAUUCAAUUUAAAAUUUUAAUGAUAGACAAUAAAAAAAAAAACCGAGUAAAUAAAUUGACCUAACAAAUUAUAUUAACUGAAUUAACUAUAUAAAUAAAUCCAUUUAAAAAUAUAUGAAAAUUCCAAGCUUUGAUAUUCUCCCUGCCUUGUAUUGUUUUUCUCUUUGUAUCUUAGAAUAGUAUGUUUUAAAUUACAGAGGGUAUACGAGCUGGGCGCACGUAGAGUUUUGGUGACCGGCACCGGACCUUUAGGCUGUGUUCCGGCGGAAAUAGCAAUGAGGGGAAGAAACGGAGAAUGCUCCGAGGAAUUGCAGAGAGCAGCUGGCUUGUUUAACCCACAGCUUGUGCAAUUGAUAAAUGAACUGAAUGCUGAAAUUGGAUCCGACAUUUUUGUAGCUGCAAAUGCAUAUGAAAUGAACAUGGAUUUUGUUAACAACCCUCAAACCUAUGGUAAGUUAAUUAUCUCAAUUUCUUUUUUUAUUUUUGAAAAAGAGGCAUGAUUUAUUUGCAUAUGAUCAUGAGAUAAAUUUACCUUUACUAUUAGAACAUGCAUGGCCUGUGGAAAUUAUCAAAUAUAAUGAACAGUAGAUGCAGAUGACCAGUGGGCAAAAGGACUUAUUCACUGGAGAGAAAUCUAUGGGACCAUUGAAAAAUAAAUGCAUUAUGUUGUGAUAGGUCUCUCAGCUUUUUAUUAAAUGCUGAAAUUAAUAUGGAAAAAAUUAAAUUAAUUUAAUUUAAUUAGUUUUUCGAUUUGAUACCCUAAUUAUAUAUUAAUUAAAAAGUGCAUAAUUGUGAUUAUUUUUGGCAGGAUUUGUAACAUCCAAGGUUGCAUGCUGUGGGCAAGGACCUUAUAAUGGGAUUGGAUUAUGCACAGUAGUAUCAAACCUGUGCCCUAAUAGAGACAUCUAUGCAUUUUGGGAUCCAUUUCAUCCAUCUGAAAGGGCUAAUAGAAUCAUUGUUCAACAAAUUGUGACUGGCUCCACCAAGUAUAUGCACCCAAUGAAUCUCAGCACCAUCAUGCUUUUGGAUUCUAGG